AAAAUUACCAUUUCAUUGGUUACUAGAUUCUGUGGGCAGCAGUUUAGACAGGAUAUAUCAAAGUUGGCUUCUCUCUGCUCCACAACAUCUGGGACACAUUUGGUAAGAUUAGAAGGGUGGGGAGACUCGAUGGCUGGAAUCAUGUGGAAGAGUCCCCUCCCAUUUCAGACUGAUGCCACCUGUCAGAUGAGACUCCAGUUGGGCUGUCAGCUAAAGUACUUCACAUGAUUUAUUUAUGUGGUCUCUCCAUGCAGGUUAGUCCGGGCGUCCUUGCACCAUGGCAAUAGAGCUCCAAGAGUGACAGCACUGCAAGAAGG
rnacentral:lncRNA from 1 species